GUGGGAAGGCAUAGACAGUCAGGAUGUUGGCUUAGAAGCAGCCAUCAUUUAAAGAAAGCGUAAUAGCUCACUGAUCGAGUCGUCCUGCGCGGAAGAUGUAACGGGGCUCAAGCCAUACACCGAAGCUGCGGAUCGUAGUAAUACGAUGGUAGAGGAGCGUUCUGUAAGCCUGUGAAGGUGUCUCGUAAGGGAUGCUGGAGGUAUCAGAAGUGCGAAUGCUGACAUGAGUAGCGUUAAAGGGGGUGAAAAGCCCCCUCGCCGUAAGCGCAAGGUUUCCUACGCAACGUUCAUCGGCGUAGGGUGAGUCGGCCCCUAAGGUGAGGCAGAGAUGCGUAGCUGAUGGGAAACAGGUCAAUAUUCCUGUACCGAUGUGUAGUGCGAUGUGGGGACGGAGAAGGUUAGCUCAGCCAACUGUUGGACAUGUUGGUUCAAGCCUGUAGUCGUGCCUGGUAGGCAAAUCCG
rnacentral:rRNA from 1 species